rnacentral:snRNA from 1 species
GUGCUGGCUUCAGCAGCACAUAUACUAAAAUUGGAUACAGAGAAGAUUAGCAUGGCCCCUGCGCAAGGAUGCCACGCAAAUUCGUGAAGCGUUCCAUAUUUAA